UGAGGAAUAUUGGUCAAUGGGCGCAAGCCUGAACCAGCCAUCCCGCGUGAAGGAUUAAGGUCCUAUGGAUUGUAAACUUCUUUUGUAUAGGGAUAAACCUACCCUCGUGAGGGUAGCUGAAGGUACUAUACGAAUAAGCACCGGCUAACUCCGUGUCAG
rnacentral:rRNA from 1 species